UAGGGAAUCUUCCGCAAUGGACGCAAGUCUGACGGAGCAACGCCGCGUGAGUGAAGAAGGAUUUCGGUUCGUAAAACUCUGUUGUUAGAGAAGAACAGCGCAUAGAGUAACUGUUAUGCGUGUGACGGUAUCUAACCAGAAAGCCACGGCUAACUACGUGCCAGCAGCCGCGGUAAUACGUAGGUGGCAAGCGUUGUCCGGAUUUAUUGGGCGUAAAGCGAGCGCAGGCGGUCAAUUAAGUCUGAUGUGAAAGCCCCCGGCUCAACCGGGGAGGGUCAUUGGAAACUGGUUGACUUGAGUGCAGAAGAGGAGAGUGGAAUUCCAGGUGUAGCGGUGAAAUGCGUAGAUAUAGGGAGGAACACCAGUGGCGAAGGCGACUUUCUGGUCUGUAACUGACGCUGAUGUGCGAAAGCGUGGGGAUCAAACAGG
rnacentral:rRNA from 1 species